rnacentral:lncRNA from 1 species
UUCUGUUUUUGUUUUGUUUUUUAUAUACAGAUUGAACAAGAUUUUUUGCUACUAUUUGGAGAAGAGAUCUCAGGAAAGUUUCUGGCAAAGUGGCCAACCUACUUCAAACAGAGAGUGAUCAAUGACAGCAAAGGAUUGUCCUCCAGUCACCACAUUGAGGAACUCAUCAAAGAUGCUCAGCGUGAACCUGGUGAUGGUAAGAUUUAACACGUAUCAUAAAAAGGAAUCGCUGUAUCUCCUGCCCCCAACUCCAAAAGGUCACAAGAAGGCAGCAAAGAUCAGCCCCCUUCAGGCAGCUGACCAUGUGGUGCGAUUUCUUAGGAUGGGAACCAGCAUUCCAAUGUUUUUGGAGAAAGUCGGAUCUGCACAGCCUUUCCUGCUCUGUAUUGGAGAAAAUACCAAAAGCAUUCAUAGGUUCUUCAUUAUUGUCGACAUGAAACCAAUUCCAUGCAAGGCUCUGACGACGGUAGCAGCAUUUGAUGAGCUCUUUAAGGCACACUUUGUGUUCAGCACAUCAUACCACGAAAGUCUGGCAAACUUCUACAUGUUCAUCCAAACGGCAGUGUACAACAUAGAUGCUGGAACCUCCAAAGAAAGACCAAGAGUCAGAGAACUAAGGGCAAGAUUUCUCAGUGGAAAGGAGUGAUUGAAGAUAGGGUCAAAGCAUGUUUACAUGUUUUAUUUGUAAAACUUCUCAUCGGACUUCAUCUCUGAUUUGUCGGCAUUUGAAACUUCUACACGGACUUUACCCUGGAAAGCUCUUGCGUUUACGAUGUGCAGAGUUCGGAUGUUCUUCAAUGUUUGGCACAUAUUCUGGAUUUAAGAAACAUUUAAUCACAGUUCAUCCAGUGUUCAAAAAAGUUGUUAAUAUUAUUGUGAAAGAUGAGAAGGUUUUUCUUUCGACAAGCAGUGUUCAAACUGUGCAAAUGGAUGAAGACCUUCAUGCAUUUAUAAUAGAUGAUGAAAUUGUUCCUUUUACAGUAUUUGCACUGCAGACCAGAGUUGUUUUUUAACUCUAUACCGUGUACAUAUAACUCAUUCAUAGUGUUAAA